rnacentral:rRNA from 1 species
UUAGCCUACGGGACGCAGCAGUAGGGAAUUUUCGGCAAUGGGGGGAACCCUGACCGAGCAACGCCGCGUGAACGAAGAAGUAUUUCGGUAUGUAAAGUUCUUUUAUUGGAGAAGAAAGAGAAAUUUGACGGUAACCAAUGAAUAAGCUCCGGCUAACUACGUGCCAGCAGCCGCGGUAAUACGGAGGAUGCGAGCGUUAUCCGGAUUUAUUGGGUUUAAAGGGUGCGCAGGCGGGCUGUUAAGCCGGCGGUAAAAAUUCAGGGCUCAACCCUGUCGAGCCGUCGGGACUGGCAGCCUUGAGUGGG